UACGUAGGGCGCAAGCGUUGUCCGGAAUUAUUGGGCGUAAAGAGCUCGUAGGCGGUUUGUCGCGUCUGCUGUGAAAGCCCGGGGCUCAACCCCGGGUCUGCAGUGGGUACGGGCAGACUAGAGUGCAGUAGGGGAGACUGGAAUUCCUGGUGUAGCGGUGAAAUGCGCAGAUAAUCAGGAGGAACACCGAUGGCGAAGGCAGCUCGCUGGGACGGUACUGACGCUGAGGCGCGAAAGCUAGGGGAGCAAACGGG
rnacentral:rRNA from 1 species